CGGCGGACGGCUGAGUAACGCGUAGGAACGUACCCCAAAGUGAGGAAUAACUGCCCGAAAGGGUAGCUAAUGCCGCAUAUGCUCCAAGGAGUAAAGCUUCGGCGCUUUGGGAAUGGCCUGCGUCCGAUUAGCUAGUUGGUGAGAUAAAAGCUCACCAAGGCGACGAUCGGUAGCUGGUCUGAGAGGAUGACCAGCCAGACUGGGACUGAGACACGGCCCAG
rnacentral:rRNA from 1 species